GGGGACUUGGGAGCGCGCGCUGCCCCUCACUUGGCUGCAACUGGACCCAGAACUAGGGAAGAGGCAAACCACAGCAUUCUGUCCCUGACCCCCAGAAUUCAUGGCCUUCUCACAAUUCAAAAUACAGUCAUUCCAUCCUAGUAGUCCCAAAAGACUGAAUUUGUUCCAGCACCAACUCAAAAGUCUAAAGUGUCAUCUGGGAGUUUGUGAAAUCAAAACAAGUUAUCUACUUCCUAGAUACAAUGGUGGGACAGGUAUAAGGUAUACACUCCCUUUCCAAAAGAGACAAACAGGCCAGAAGAAAGAAGUAACAGGCCCCUGAGGAGCAGUGUGCUGGAACGCAGGGAGUAGAGACCCAAAGCAGCCCUGGGCAGCAGUCCAUCCCCGGAAUUAUUCUGCCCUCUUAGAGCUCAGGGCCUAUGAGGAAGGGGCAGCCUCAAAGAUCCCAGAAAUGCCUCUGGGGUUUUUAAUUUCAUUGUCAUGGAUAGCCUUUGGCUUCAUUCUAUCCAUGGUGACCUCUUUAGCAAUCUCUUGACCAUACCCAAACACCCCUUUCACUGUUAAGGUGGCCAGGCUUCAAAUUUUCUAAUGUUUUUCUAUUCUGUUUUUUCUUAUAUCUUACUAUAAGUAGUUAAAAGAAGCCAUUUAGUAGCCUAAAUACUUUGCUGCUUAGAUAUUCCUUCCACCAGAUAUCCUAGUUUAUCACUGUUAAGUUCUGCAUUUCAUAAAGUCCUAGGACAUGGACAGAAUUUAGCCAAGGUCUUAGCCAGUUUAUAGCAGCGAUGGCCUUUACUCCAGUUUCCAAUACCUUGUUCCUCAUUUCCAUCUGGGACCUCAUCGGAAUGGUCUUUUCUAUUCAUAUUUCUAUCAGCAUUCUGAUCAUGACCACUUAAAUGAUCUCUAAGGAGUUUCAGACUUUCUCUAGCUUUUUGUUUUACUAAACCCUCACCAGAAUCAGCCUUAAUGCUCCAUUCACAGUGAUACAAGCUUUUUCUAGCGUGCUCAUCCAAAUUCUUCCAGACUGUUCAUUACCCAGUU
rnacentral:lncRNA from 1 species